rnacentral:rRNA from 1 species
GGCGAUCAGAUACCGCCCUAGUUCUGACCGUAAACGAUGCCAACUAGCGAUCCGCCAGUCGACUCAUCGCUCUGGUGGGGAGCUUCCCGGAAACGAAAGUCUUCCGGUUCCGGGGGAAGUAUGGUUGCAAAGCUGAAACUUAAAGGAAUUGACGGAAGGGCACCACCAGGAGUGGAGCCUGCGGCUUAAUUUGACUCAACACGGGGAAACUCACCCGGCCCGGACACCGUAAGGAUUGACAGAUUGAUAGCUUUUUCAUGAUUCGGUGGAUGGUGGUGCAUGGCCGUUCUUAGUUCGUGGAGCGAUUUGUCUGGUUUAUUCCGAUAACGAGCGAGACUCUGGCCUACUAAAUAGUUGACGCAUUGCCACUGUGCGCACAACUUCUUAGAGGGAUUUUCGGUGUUUUCAACCGCACAAAAUUGAGCAAUAACAGGUCUGUGAUGCCCUUAGAUGUCCGGGGCUGCACGCGCGCUACACUGGCAAACGCAACGUGCCUGUCCUGCCCCGAAAGGAGCGGGUAAACCCCUGAAAUUUUGCCGUGAUUGGGAUCGGACAUUGCAACUAUUGUCCGUGAACGAGGAAUUCCUUGUAGGGGCGAGUCAUCAACUCGUCCCGAAUACGUCCCUGCCCUUGUA